UACUCAUUAUUAUUUUUUGUCGAGCCUGCAACUUUUGUUGCAGAAAGCUCGACAUAGGGAUAGUGAUCCGGCGGCGGCGGCGGCUACGGCGGCGGCUACGGCGGCGGCGUUAGCUAACUUCUUAAAAGCUUUAUAUUUUAGAAGGUGGAAGACCUGGAUGCUUCAUACUUUGUAUAUAGAUGCCUCAUGUUACGAAGUUUCCGUCAGUCACAUGUCCAAUGUCCUUGACCUCAUGUUCAUGGUUCAGUGAACACUUGAAAAAAAGUUCAAAUUUUUUGUAAUGUUGAAUUCUCUCUUAUUAUAAGUAAUAGGAUAACUAUAUUUGAUAUGUGCGUACCUUGCAAGGUCCUAAUGUCUGUCAGACAGUUUUCACUUGACCUCGACCUUAUUUCAUGGAUCAGUGAACAAGGUUAAGUUUUGGUGGUCAAGUCCAUAUCUCAGAUACUAUAAGCAAUAGGGCUAGUAUAUUCGGUGUAUGGAAGGACUGUAAGGUGUACAUGUCCAACUGGCAGGUGUCAUCUGACCUUGACCUCAUUUUCAUGGUUCAGUGGUUAUAGUUAAGUUUUUGUGUUUUGGUCUGUUGUUCUCAUACUAUAUGCAAUAGGUCUACUAUAUUUGUUGUAUGGAAUGAUUGUAAGGUGUACAUGUCUAGCGGGCAGAUGUCAUGUGACCUUGACCUCAUUUUCAUGGUUCAGUGGUCAAAGUUAAGUUUUUGAGUUUUGGUCUUUUUAUCUAAUACUAUAUGCCAUAGGUCAACUAUAUUUGGUGUAUGGAAAUAUUUAAUGAUCUUUAUGUCAGUCGCGCAGGUUUUAUUUGACCGAUACCUCAUUUUCACGGUUCAUUGCACAGUGUUAAGUUUUUGUGUUUUGGUCUAUUUUUCUUAAACUAUAAGUAAUAGGUCAACUAUAUAUGUUGUAUAGAAGCAUUGUUAGCUGUACAUGUCUGCCUGGCAUGGUUCAUCUGACCUUGACCUCAUUUUCAAGGUUCAUUGGUCUUUGUUUAGUUAUCUUGGUUAAUGUUAAGUUUAUGGUACAGUUGUUAUAAAGCUUAGCUUUUUACUUAGGACUAUCAACAUAAUAUCAAUGAUUAGUAUAGAAGGCGAGACAUUUCAGCGUGUGCACUCUUGUUGUAGAAA
rnacentral:lncRNA from 1 species